rnacentral:lncRNA from 1 species
AAGUUGGUCCUAAGAUGUACAUGCAAAUGCUAAGAAACCAGAAUACCUACUCAAUAUUGAAAAAAAAAAAAAAGAGAGACAAAGUUGGAGGAAUACACGCCUGCCGGAGCCCACGGUAUUGAUUACGACCAAAACACGCUGUGAGCAGUGCAGGCUGCAGAGUUAAAUCCCUCCCUUGGCUCACUUUAGGAAGCCGGUCUCACUGAAGCAACGUGACUCACAGUGGUGCGCAGGUCAGUGUGACCUCCCUGCUGACAGCCACGGCCGAGAUCAGGCCCAGGAAGCUGCGAGCCUAAUCUGAGAGAAUAGUGUAGCUGAGGUCAGAGUAAAUCACACCCAAAUCCCAUCUGCACAGUUAGUGCCUUCUUAGCAUGAAGGACGGUGCUCUAAUAACAGCCAUAUAUUGUCUCGCUUCUAAUCUGAAAAUGCUUUCGCUCUCCUCUUCAAGCCUUGCCUCCGUGGGUUUCCGCGCCCAGCUCUGGGCAUCUCCAGACACCCUGCCCCCUGGAGAUGGACCUCCGCUCUUCGUGUUCACAGAUUCCUUCAUAGUCACAGGAAACACAGGGACUACACCACUGCCACUGUCCUGCUCAGCCCUUUAAUCAAAUGCCUAAUGUGAGGCAGCAGCAGCUGGACCUGCAACUGCAGCAACAACAAAAAACAGAAUCCAAAAGCCGGAAGUGGGUGUCUUCACUUCUUACUUAUAUUAAAAGCAUCUCGGCCUAGGUGGCGGGUGGAGAGAGGCUGCCCAGCAUUCAUCAUGCCAACCAGGCGAGGUCAGCUCUGAUUACAGCUGGGCAGCUGAGUUCACUGAUUUCUGUGGCCUGUGGCCAGGAUUGCGUAACAGACACAGAGGCCAAAGGAGCUACGGAGGACCAGAAGGGGCCCCGCAAUUCCCUCCUCCCGGCGAGGGCCGGGUUCCUCGGCAGACCCACUGCAGGGGAGGGCUUGGGGGAGCCCCAUGGAGUGGCGGGGAAAAUUCCCUGCCCACCCAGGACGCUGCCAAAGGCCAUGGCUUUGAAAGGCGGCAAUUGGUGAGAUGUCGAUCUGGGCAGCCAAGAGGCCACGAGAUGGCAGCAUAGGACACAGCCUUGGACACAAAACCUGAGCCAUCUUGCAAAAAAGCAGGUCAAGAAAUGGAAGAGAAUUCAUUUGGAAAACAUCGUCAGUUGUCUAUAAUCACCUAUCCAAAGC